rnacentral:rRNA from 1 species
AAACCAACUGGGAUUACCUUAGUAACGGCGAGUGAAGCGGUAAAAGCUCAAAUUUGAAAUCUGGUACUUUCAGUGCCCGAGUUGUAAUUUGUAGAAUUUGUCUUUGAUUAGGUCCUUGUCUAUGUUCCUUGGAACAGGACGUCAUAGAGGGUGAGAAUCCCGUUUGGCGAGGAUACCUUUUCUCUGUAAGACUUUUUCGAAGAGUCGAGUUGUUUGGGAAUGCAGCUCAAAGUGGGUGGUAAAUUCCAUCUAAAGCUAAAUAUUGGCGAGAGACCGAUAGCGAACAAGUACAGUGAUGGAAAGAUGAAAAGAACUUUGAAAAGAGAGUGAAAAAGUACGUGAAAUUGUUGAAAGGGAAGGGCAUUUGAUCAGACAUGGUGUUUUUUGCAUGCACUCGCCUCUCGUGGGCUUGGGCCUCUCAAAAAUUUCACUGGGCCAACAUCAGUUCUGGCAGCAGGAUAAAUCAUUAAGAAUGUAGCUACCUCGGUAGUGUUAUAGCUUAUUGGAAUACUGCUAGCUGGGAUUGAGGACUGCG